UCCCCGCCUCGUUCCUCGUCUUUUAUCGUUCUCCGUGCCAUUUCAGAGUGUACGCGUUACACGCUCAUUGUUCCGUCGAGACCACCGAACGUGAGACUGACAGGGUCCUAUAGAUCGUUUCCGUUCCGUACGUAUCGUUCUCGGUGUAAACAAGCGAAGCCAACGGGACUCGGUAAAACGAAGGGAAAUCCAGUGCGACGUUAGAUAACCGAGUGACUAUAAUUAUUCGAGAAUGACCGCCUAACGUUUAUUACGCAGGUCGGAUACGCGUUCGAGAAAUCGAACCGUUUCUCAGUGCUACCAGUGCCCUCGAACGUGCUGGCCUUUUAUUCAGCCGUUUUACCCGCCACGUAAAAAUCGUCGCACAGUUCGCUCGUUCUCUAUCGUCUCGCUGUUAUUCUAGCGGCUUACGCCGCCUCCGAACCGAACCAGUGAUCUCCUCGCGGCGAAUGGAUCCAUAAUUAUCGGGGGAAUAAUCAAAAUAGCCUCGGUGGUCACCGACGACGACGUUUGGCAACGACAUUGACACUGGUACACCGCGUUAGCGCGAAAAUAUUUCGUCGAGAGACCAGUUAAUUUUUAACCGCAGCCCAGUACAGUCAUGCACGAAACGUUUCGCCCGAAAAUCUCGAGUGGCAUCGGGCAACAGUGUUUCCUUUGGUAUCCGUGUCCUCAAUGAAAGUCUCUUGGAGAGAGACGUCCAGCAGGAAACCGACAGAGGGGGAAGAAAGGAGCGCUUCGAUUUCAACCCUUUACACGCGGAAAGCGUUGAUCGUUAUGCUUAUCGAUUGCCACGGAGAGAUUUGACAGAGGAGGUUUUUCUCUCUUCGGCUAGCGUGGCAGUUCUAAUUUCUUUUUAUUUUUCUUUUUCCCCUUUUCUUUUUUUUUCUACGAAGAUACCGUACCCGAGAUGAUCUGGCAACGAGUCAGCGAAUUCUUAACGUACAUUUGCGAACGGAUCGACCGAGCAGAGACCAUCUUCCUUCAAAUGAAGAAUAUUUCUGUGAUGACCAACCAAAUUCUAUUUUUGAAAAUGGCCGAUCUAAUAUACCUGCACAAGCCCGAGAUGACGUAUCUUUACACGUUAAUGUUUUACAACGUGAUCACGUACUGCGUUAGCUACAUUAAGGAAUUGAUCGAGAAGGAGGAUUGGUCGCCGUACAUAACUCUCACGGAAAGAUCGAAGAUCAAACAUUUAGCGAUGUCCGCUACGAAAAUAGUACUGGAAUGGACUAAGGCCGUUACAUUCGUCGUAACGUUAACGUUUAUGCUGCUCGUGUUCGGUUUGGAGCAGGGUCUCCAUAAUUACAAGCCGUCGAUAUUUUACACCGUGGUAACGUGGGCUUAUUAUUCAGCGACAGAGAAGGUCUUCGUUGAGAUGUUUCCAUCGAUUUUCAAGUUCUUCCAAGUGGAAGCCUUCGAGAACAUGGAGGAACUUUAUGCUCCUGUAUUACUAAGAUCAUUCACCAUCAUUGUAUCUGUUUUACACAUAUCCCUCCUUCUGCCAACGAUGUCCUGGAGAUUCCUGCUUGUCUCGAGCUACAUGAACAUUUAUUUGAGAUUGAAAGACCUUUUGAGAAAGUUCGCGCCUCUGUUGCAACGUGAGCAGCAAUUUCUAAAUUACUACAGGAAAGCAACGCCUGAAGAAAUUUUUCGUUUCGACGAUGUUUGCGCUGUUUGUCUUUGUAAUAUGGUCAAAGCGAGAACAACACCUUGCCACCACCUUUUCCACGCGGACUGUUUACGUCGAUGCCUUAAGAUUAGCGAUACGUGUCCUUUGUGUAAAAGAAAGCUGAAAUUCCAAUAUGAAUCGGUAUCGGAUCAUCAAUAAAUCACAGAAUUACUAGUUCUGUAUCUUUUGUUGUUUUAAUCGAACGACAGCUAAAUCAUCGCUACUUGAUGACUAAGUUUUCUCUGUGUCAAAUUUCAAAUUGAAAAUAGUCUUAUAAAAUGUGAAAAACGAAGAGGGUAACAACUCUUUCAUUUACGUAAAAACGCGAACAUAUUAAACUUUUGUUCUUUUGCAUUUUACAAUUCUUCAUUAGUGAUAUUGAUUCUACUUGCUUAGGUUUCUCCUAUGUAUUUAAUUGAAAUAUCUGUAUAUGCACCAUCUGGAGCUUCAUAAUCAGGUAUCGCUGGAGUAUUCACUGGUCCAAAUACACUGUAUGGCAGAAAUGAUUCAUCAAACUGAAAAUGAAAUAGAAUUUAUAAAUAGUUGUUAAAUAUGGACAUCUAUAGAAUUAUUUUGUACCAAUUGUUAAUAUGAAUAAAACAAAUUUCCAUUGUAUUACACUAUGCAAGUAAUAUUUACUUCUAUUGCUUUCUGAUAAAGUUCCUCUGACUCAGCUUUAAGUUCCUUUAAUGCUUUCUCCUGUGAAAGCAGAAUAGAGUUUAUAGUAUUUGAAUCUUUCAACCACUGAUUCAAUUUGUAUCUGCACCAUUCUUUUUGCAAUAAUGCUCUCCUGUCUAUUUCCUCGGGAGAUAGAACAGUAACCUUACGUAACCUUUUCCUGUAACAUACACAAUAUGUAAUUGCAUUAUGUACAAUUUUGCAAGCAAUAGAUAAAUAAUAAUGUAACCUACUCUUUUUCCUCGAUUAACUUGACUGGUACUUCACAUUCAUAGAUAGGUUUCAAUUGCUUAACAAUACGUUCUAAACGUUUAAUUUGUUUUUCCAAUUUCUUUCUUUUCCUAUCUUCUCUCAUUUUAAUAACUUGGGGAUCAAUUCUUUUUUUCUUUUUAAGUGGCUCUCCUCUACAAAAAAAGAUUAGUACAAUACAUAAUGUUUAGAAUAUUAUAAUGUUAAAAAUAAAGUUAGUAAACAUAAAAUUUUGAUUUACUUACAAAAGUAUAUUAGUGACUUGAAAAUACAAUGGAUUCGAAUAUGUGGAAAUAUAUCGCGGAUUAACGGCUGAGCACACAGACAGUCUGUAUCAAUAUACAAAUGAAAUUAUAGUUAUCAACAUAUCCAAAUAUCCUAAACUUUAUAUAUUAAUUAUUACCUAGCGAAAUUAUUAAGCAAAUGAAAUACACUCAUCACGUCUAUAAAGUUUUUAUAAAUUACUCGUAACCUCAAUAAUAGUUUUUCCUGUGAUUUUUAUAAUUUUUGUUUAUAAGUUACUUUGUUUUUCAACUUUAAAUAUUAAUAAUACAGAGGACGCAGGAAAUAUCUGGAAAUUAAUUAUGCAAGAAAAACCUCACAAAAUGUUCUAUUCAAAUGUCAACAAAUACCAAAUAAAAUGUACACAUUUACGUAAAUUGAAUUACGUAGAUAAGUAAAAAAAAGUCUUAACACAAUAAUAAAUAUGAUACAGUGUAAUAUACUAAACUGUACAAUAAAAUAAUAAAUGAAAUUAUUACAUAAUGAACGAAAAAUUUGAUCAAAGCCAAAUACUACUAGUGUUGCUUUCGUAAAAUUGCUUUAAAAUGAUUUAAAUUGCUGAAGACGAUCUUAUAAGAGAUUUUAUAAAGUGCUUUAAUUUUGAAAAAGUUUAGUUCUAACAAUAAUAUUAAAUAUAUCUGUAACUACUUAUGAGCUAAUCGAAAGAUAAAUCCUGUUUAACCUAUUCGGAGUUGACCGCUCUGUAUUACCCAUCGAAUACAAUUCAUGUACAACGAUUUUUCACGUACACUAUUCAACGUAGUAUAACAUUAAAUUUUGCUAUUUUGGAGUCCACGCGCGUGACGCAUGCAAAUACUGUAAAUAUGGAUGGACAUUUCUAUAACCUAUUUUUAAUUAAUAUCAAUUGGAAUUUUUAAAAUUCAAGUUGUAUUAAAUAAAAUUAGCGCAAAUCUCAUAAUUAUAA